UAGGGAAUCUUCCGCAAUGGGCGAAAGCCUGACGGAGCAACGCCGCGUGAGUGAUGAAGGUCUUCGGAUCGUAAAACUCUGUUAUUAGGGAAGAACAAAUGUGUAAGUAACUAUGCACGUCUUGACGGUACCUAAUCAGAAAGCCACGGCUAACUACGUGCCAGCAGCCGCGGUAAUACGUAGGUGGCAAGCGUUAUCCGGAAUUAUUGGGCGUAAAGCGCGCGUAGGCGGUUUUUUAAGUCUGAUGUGAAAGCCCACGGCUCAACCGUGGAGGGUCAUUGGAAACUGGAAAACUUGAGUGCAGAAGAGGAAAGUGGAAUUCCAUGUGUAGCGGUGAAAUGCGUAGAGAUAUGGAGGAACACCAGUGGCGAAGGCGACUUUCUGGUCUGUAACUGACGCUGAUGUGCGAAAGCGUGGGGAUCAAACAGG
rnacentral:rRNA from 1 species